rnacentral:lncRNA from 1 species
CGCACCCAAAAUUCUAAAAUUGCUCAUUCAAAGUCAUGGCUGAACACAGCCUCCUUCCACACUCUGGCUUUCGCAGAAAUCCGCUCACAACAAGAAAUAUAUGUUCAGAUCUGUUCCCUUUUUGAGGCUGGUUCAAAGUGGAGCCCUAAUUCUCUUCUCUUCCUCACUUUAGUGCCUUGGCCAUGAAUUUUCGAUGGGAUCGCCGCUGCUAAGUUCUCCAGCGCCGCCGUGGAUUAGAUGUUCCAGUGAUGUCGUCUCAUCUCUCUAAUGAAGCCAAGGUCGCGACUGCUUCAUCGAUUUGGGGAGAGGGGGUCCGAUGAGUUGCAGAUCCGCAAAUAGUCGUCGUCCCUCUCUCUGCAAUUCAGUGACGUCGUCACCCAGGAGUGUUGAGAUGCCGCCGCCUGUUUCUCUGUUGCACGCCCCUCUCAUGGGUCCGCCGUCCGGCGACUCGUCUCUUCGUCUCCUCGAAACCUCAAUCGAAACCUUACAUUUUGCGGGUAGGUGGACAGUAAAUGGAGGAGACGAAGGCAAUAAAUGGGAGUAGAUUUCGAGAUUUGCAGUUUUUACUAAUUUGCAAAGUUACUCAAAUGCCCUAAUUGUAAUUAAA